AAUCCAUAGGUUAAUGAGGCGAACCGGGGGAACUGAAACAUCUAAGUACCCCGAGGAAAAGAAAUCAACCGAGAUUCCCCCAGUAGCGGCGAGCGAACGGGGAGGAGCCCAGAGCCUGAAUCAGCAUGUGUGUUAGUGGAAGCGUCUGGAAAGGCGCGCGAUACAGGGUGACAGCCCCGUACACAAAAGCGCAUGUGCUGUGAGCUCGAUGAGUAGGGCGGGACACGUGGUAUCCUGUCUGAAUAUGGGGGGACCAUCCUCCAAGGCUAAAUACUCCUGACUGACCGAUAGUGAACCAGUACCGUGAGGGAAAGGCGAAAAGAACCCCGGCGAGGGGAGUGAAAAAGAACCUGAAACCGUGUACGUACAAGCAGUGGGAGCACCCUUUUGGGUGUGACUGCGUACCUUUUGUAUAAUGGGUCAGCGACUUAUAUUCUGUAGCAAGGUUAACCGCAUAGGGGAGCCGGAGGGAAACCGAGUCUUAAUUGGGCGUUAAGUUGCAGGGUAUAGACCCGAAACCCGGUGAUCUAGCCAUGGGCAGGUUGAAGGUUGGGUAACACUAACUGGAGGACCGAACCGACUAAUGUUGAAAAAUUAGCGGAUGACCUGUGGCUGGGGGUGAAAGGCCAAUCAAACCGGGAGAUAGCUGGUUCUCCCCGAAAGCUAUUUAGGUAGCGCCUCGUGAAUUCAUCUCCGGGGGUAGAGCACUGUUUCGGCUAGGGGGCCAUCCCGGCUUACCAACCCGAUGCAAACUGCGAAUACCGGAGAAUGUUAUCACGGGAGACACACGGCGGGUGCUAACGUCCGUCGUGAAGAGGGAAACAACCCAGACCGCCAGCUAAGGUCCCAAAGUCAUGGUUAAGUGGGAAACGAUGUGGGAAGGCCCAGACAGCCAGGAUGUUGGCUUAGAAGCAGCCAUCAUUUAAAGAAAGCGUAAUAGCUCACUGGUCGAGUCGGCCUGCGCGGAAGAUGUAACGGGGCUAAACCAUGCACCGAAGCUGCGGCAGCGACGCUUAUGCGUUGUUGGGUAGGGGAGCGUUCUGUAAGCCUGCGAAGGUGGCCUGUGAGGGUUGCUGGAGGUAUCAGAAGUGCGAAUGCUGACAUAAGUAACGAUAAAGCGGGUGAAAAGCCCGCUCGCCGGAAGACCAAGGGUUCCUGUCCAACGUUAAUCGGGGCAGGGUGAGUCGACCCCUAAGGCGAGGCCGAAAGGCGUAGUCGAUGGGAAACGGGUUAAUAUUCCCGUACUUGGUGUUACUGCGAAGGGGGGACGGAGAAGGCUAUGUUGGCCGGGCGACGGUUGUCCCGGUUUAAGCGUGUAGGUGUGUGUUCCAGGUAAAUCCGGUUCACUUUAACACUGAGGCGUGACGACGAGGCACUACGGUGCUGAAGCAACAAAUGCCCUGCUUCCAGGAAAAGCCUCUAAGCAUCAGGUAACAUCAAAUCGUACCCCAAACCGACACAGGUGGUCAGGUAGAGAAUACCAAGGCGCUUGAGAGAACUCGGGUGAAGGAACUAGGCAAAAUGGUGCCGUAACUUCGGGAGAAGGCACGCUGACACGUAGGUGAAGUGAUUUACUCAUGGAGCUGAAGUCAGUCGAAGAUACCAGCUGGCUGCAACUGUUUAUUAAAAACACAGCACUGUGCAAACACGAAAGUGGACGUAUACGGUGUGACGCCUGCCCGGUGCCGGAAGGUUAAUUGAUGGGGUCAGCGCAAGCGAAGCUCCUGAUCGAAGCCCCGGUAAACGGCGGCCGUAACUAUAACGGUCCUAAGGUAGCGAAAUUCCUUGUCGGGUAAGUUCCGACCUGCACGAAUGGCGUAAUGAUGGCCAGGCUGUCUCCACCCGAGACUCAGUGAAAUUGAACUCGCUGUGAAGAUGCAGUGUACCCGCGGCAAGACGGAAAGACCCCGUGAACCUUUACUAUAGCUUGACACUGAACAUUGAGCCUUGAUGUGUAG
rnacentral:rRNA from 1 species